rnacentral:rRNA from 1 species
GACGAACGCUGGCGGCGUGCUUAACACAUGCAAGUCGAACGGUAAGGCCCCUUCGGGGGUACACGAGUGGCGAACGGGUGAGUAACACGUGAGUAACCUGCCCUUGACUCUGGGAUAACAUCUGGAAACAGGUGCUAAUACCGGAUAUUCAGCUUCCUCUGCAUGGGGGUUGUUGGAAAGCUCCGGCGGUCAAGGAUGGACUCGCGGCCUAUCAGCUUGUUGGUGAGGUAAUGGCUCACCAAGGCUCCGACGGGUAGCCGGCCUGAGAGGGCGACCGGCCACAUUGGGACUGAGAUACGGCCCAAACUCCUACGGGAGGCAGCAGUGGGGAAUAUUGCACAAUGGGCGCAAGCCUGAUGCAGCAACGCCGCGUGCGGGAUGACGGCCUUCGGGUUGUAAACCGCUUUCAUCCAUGACGAAGCGAGAGUGACGGUAGUGGAAGAAGAAGCACCGGCUAACUACGUG